CCCUACGGGACGCAGCAGUCGGGAAUAUUGCGCAAUGGAGGAAACUCUGACGCAGUGACGCCGCGUAUAGGAAGAAGGUUUUCGGAUUGUAAACUAUUGUCGUGAGGGAAGAAGAUGACAGUACCUCAGGAGGAAGCUCUGGCUAACUAUGUGCCAGCAGCCGCGGUAAUACAUAGGGAGCAAGCGUUAUCCGGAAUGAUUGGGCGUAAAGGGUGCGUAGGCGGCCUGCUAAGUCUGGAGUGAAAGGUACCGGCUCAACCGGUACAGGCUCUGGAAACUGGCGGGCUAGAGAGCAGGAGAGGGCG
rnacentral:rRNA from 1 species